rnacentral:rRNA from 1 species
AUACGGAGGGUGCAAGCGUUAAUCGGAAUUACUGGGCGUAAAGCGCUCGUAGGCGGCUUGUUAAGUCGGAUGUGAAAGCCCCGGGCUCAACCUGGGAACUGCAUUCGAUACUGGCAAGCUAGAGUAUAGUAGAGGCAAGUGGAAUUCCGGGUGUAGCGGUGAAAUGCGUAGAUAUCCGGAGGAACAUCAGUGGCGAAGGCGGCUUUCUGGACCAAUACUGACACUGAGGCGCGAAAGCGUGGGGAGCAAACAGGAUUAGAAACCCGGGUAGUCC